rnacentral:rRNA from 1 species
UACGUAGGGCGCAAGCGUUAUCCGGAAUUAUUGGGCGUAAAGAGCUCGUAGGCGGUUCGUCGCGUCGGCUGUGAAAACCCGGAGCUCAACUCCGGGCCUGCAGUCGAUACGGGCGGACUUGAGUGUUGCAGGGGAGACUGGAAUUCCUGGUGUAGCGGUGAAAUGCGCAGAUAUCAGGAGGAACACCGGUGGCGAAGGCGGGUCUCUGGGCCGUAACUGACGCUGAGGAGCGAAAGCAUGGGGAGCGAACAGG